UUUUUGGACGUGAGACGUCAGCUGACACUGAAUGAUCGACUGGAAGUUUACUAACGAUGUGUUGUCGCUUCCCUCUUCUUGCUGUACAUAUGUGCAUUGUGAAAAAUGUUCCGUGGGCGACUUAUCAAAUAAAGCGGCAAGUUAUGCAUAAACAUCAACAAGGUACAAGAUGAGCCGAGGAUUUCGGAGGAGUAAAAUCGGAGGAUAGUCGGCAGUCGGCGGAUCAAGGCCCGAUGGAUGUCGCGGUGUCGCGAUACCAUCAACAAUCUGGGAUCUUUACUGCCUGCUGGGUUGCCCACACCAGUUCCAUCAGUCCCUAGACACUGACACUGACAAUGACACCCGGAGGAUCUAGAUCUAGAUCCAGAUCUGAAUCCAAAUCCAGCUUGGAUCUUGUAGCUGUUCUAUCUACACUAUUAUACACACGUAGGACAUCACUCUAGUUAGCAUUGAGCUGACAAAAACUGUAGCAAGAUGGCCCGGCACGCCCCUGUCGGCAAAAGCUUUGGUGACAUCAAUUGGAUAUGUGCCAGGUAAUCCACAUCUCCAAUCCAGGUACCAGAAUGCCCCUUCUCGUUUUGACUUUAUUCCUCUACUGAAAGAGCCGGCUUAUAGACCUCUAUAGCCACGGGGUGCGCUUAAUAGACCUCAACUACGAGCCUUGUUUGGACGUUUGUGGUAAACAGAGCAACAACCAACACCGGUGAUCUAUAGUUCCCUGGUUAAAUGGGGGAUGAAACAAGCCGCUCAUUUUCUCAGGCUCACCGACCCAGGGUGGUCUACUACAACUUUUUUAUAAAGAUUUUCUCUUUAAAAUACAAUUCUCCUCACUUUCGGGGGCUAAUUUUGGAAAAAGGACAAUGGCAACGUUUUCAAGGAUUCAAAA